rnacentral:rRNA from 1 species
AUUGAACGCUGGCGGCAGGCCUAACACAUGCAAGUCGAGCGGAGCGGCGGACGCGUGAGUAAUGCCUAGGAAUCUGCCUGGUAGUGGGGGAUAACGUCCGGGAACGCGCGCUAAUACCGCAUACUAUCAGAUGAGCCUCGGUCGGAUUAGCUCGUUGUUGGGGUAAAGGCCUACCAAGGCGACGAUCCGUAACUGGUCUGAGAGGAUGAUCAGUCACACUGGAACUGAGACACGGUCCAGACUCCUACGGGAGGCAGCAGUGGGGAAUAUUGGACAAUGGGCGAAAGCCUGAUCCAGCCAUGCCGCGUGUGUGAAGAAGGUCUUAGGAUUGUAAAGCACUUUAAGUUGGGAGGCGUUACCAACAGAAGAAGCACCGGCUAACUUCGUGCCAGCAGCCGCGGUAAUAC